rnacentral:rRNA from 1 species
CCCUUAGACGUUCUGGGCCGCACGCGCGCUACACUGACCAGUGCAACAAGCAUCCGUCCUUGGCCGACAGGCUCGGGCAAUCUUUGAACGCUGGUCGUGAUGGGGAUAGACUUUUGCAAUUUUUGGUCUUCAACGAGGAAUUCCUAGUAAACGCAAGUCAUCAACUUGCAUUGAUUACGUCCCUGCCCUUUGUACACACCGCCCGUCGCACCUACCGAUUGAAUGGUCCGGUGAAGCCUCCGGAUUGGCGCGCACCUCGGUGCCGCCGAGAAGUUGGCUAAACCUUACCAUUUAGGGGAAGGUGAAGUCGUAACA